rnacentral:lncRNA from 1 species
AGCCAUGUAUUCACGGGGUCCGCCCAUCAAUACACAGUUACUCACCAGCUGCCAUUGACUAAGGGUUAUGUACUAAGGGCAGGGGACUCGGGGCUCCUGCCCUGAGCCCGGCGGGAAACCUGGAGACAGCACCCCACACUGCAGUUGCUCUCUCCUUUCAAAGGCAGGACUUCCAGGGCCUGGAGCCUCAAGGCCUCUGUGGAGGGGACAAAGGGCUCUUGAGGUCACUGGAGAGGCCAGAAGGCGGCUCAUUAAGUGGCUGGCAUCACUUUCCUGCAACCCCUGCCCCGUUCUAGGGGCACAGAGCGGGGACAGCAGCCUGGAAUCUUGGAGAACCAAGAGGACACGUGCUGGAAUACAGGAACCCUUCAGAGGCGCACUGAUUUUAUAAAGUAACACGCUCACUCAGGAUACCAACAAAGGGUCUUGUUUUUGAAACUCCUGCAAGUAGAGAAAAGAAGACCCACUAGAGCCAGCCAGAUGGUGUAAUGGUUCCCAGGGCAGAGUCUGGAACCAGACUGCCUGGCUCUGAGAGUUCAGCACCCUCAGCUCCUAGCUGUGCUGCCUUUUGUAAGUCACUCAACUUCUCUGUGCCUUAGUUCUCUUCUUUGUAAAACAGGGAAAUAAUACUACCUACCUCACAGUGAAAAUGACAUGACUUUUUGAUGAACGCAACCCAGAGAAGUGCCCAGCACAGAGUUAACUGUCUGCGUUAGCCUUUAUCAUUAGCUAUAGUUUUAUUAUAUUUCAUUUCCCCUUUAUGCCUCAUCCUCAAUUCCAUUCCCUUUCUUCUCAAAAUCGCCCAUUGUGCUUUGAAUCCAUGUCCAUAC